ACACUCGUGCUGAGCAGAACGGAAAAAGGGCUGAGUUUAGAGGAAUUGCGUAGCAUCCGAGGUUUGCUAUCCAGGCGUGGCUUAUAUACGGAAACGAUUCGAAAGGUGUGCAGCUCAGCGGCUACAAGUUUGGGGGUUAUGAGUAGCUACUUGUUGGCGCUGAUGGGAUUUUUUGCCAUUGCUAAAUCUUAUUUUUGAAAACAAAUUAUUAAUUUAAGAUUUGAUGUUAGUUCAAGUUUGAAAUUUAUUCUAAUUUUAUGUGCCUAAUUUUAUGCUUUAAUUUUGUAGUAUUUGUGCAACAUACUGAUUGGAAAAUAGCCAGCGAAAAAAAUUCAUUAAA